UACGGAGGGGGCUAGCGUUGUUCGGAAUUACUGGGCGUAAAGCGCGCGUAGGCGGCUUUGUAAGUUAGAGGUGAAAGCCCGGGGCUCAACUCCGGAAUUGCCUUUAAGACUGCAUCGCUAGAAUUGUGGAGAGGUAAGUGGAAUUCCGAGUGUAGAGGUGAAAUUCGUAGAUAUUCGGAAGAACACCAGUGGCGAAGGCGACUUACUGGACACAUAUUGACGCUGAGGUGCGAAAGCGUGGGGAGCAAACAGGG
rnacentral:rRNA from 1 species